AUCACCUAGAGACCUUGCUAAAAAGCAGGUUAUGAUUCAGCGGGUCCAGGGUUGGACCAAUAUUCUGUAUUUCUAACAAGCUCCUUGGUGAUGCUGA
rnacentral:pre_miRNA from 1 species